UGGUUCUGGGCCGGCGGCUGCUGGUACGCGGCCGGCUCGGGGCGGUGGUACGCCUCCGCCUCGGUGCGCUGCCGGGGGAGCUGG
rnacentral:tRNA from 1 species